GAUGAACGCUAGCGACAGGCCUAACACAUGCAAGUCGAGGGGCAGCACGAAGUAAGCUUGCUUACUUUGGUGGCGACCGGCGCACGGGUGCGUAACAGGUGUGCAAUCUGACCAUAAUCGGGGAAUAGCCCAGCUAAAGUUGGAUUAAUGCUCCAUGUGAGUUUUAGAGGCAUCUCUUUAAUUUGAAACGUAAGGAUUAUGGGUGAGCACGCUUCUGAUUAGGUAGUUGGUGAGGUAACGGCUCACCAAGCCGACGAUCAGUAGGGGUUCUGAGAGGAAGGUCCCCCACAUUGGAACUGAGACACGGUCCAAACUCCUACGGGAGGCAGCAGUGAGGAAUAUUGGUCAACGGACGGAAGUCUGAACCAGCCAAGUCGCGUGAAGGAUGAAGGUUCUAUGGAUUGUAAACUUCUUUUGUCUGAGGGUAAAAAAGCGGACGUGUCCGUUCUUGCAAGUAUCAGACGAAUAAGCAUCGGCUAACUCCGUGCCAGCAGCCGCGGUAAGAC
rnacentral:rRNA from 1 species